GAUGAACGCUGGCGGCGUGCUUAACACAUGCAAGUCGAACGGAAAGGCCCUGCUUUUGUUGGGUGCUCGAGUGGCGAACGGGUGAGUAACACGUGAGUAACCUGCCCUUGACUUUGGGAUAACUCUAGGAAACUGGGGCUAAUACCGGAUAGGAGCUCCUGCUGCAUGGUGGGGGUUGGAAAGUUUCGGCGGUUGGGGAUGGACUCGCGGCUUAUCAGCUUGUUGGUGGGGUAGUGGCUUACCAAGGCUUGGACGGGUAGCCGGCCUGAGGGGGUGACCGGCCACAUUGGGACUGGGAUACGGCCCAGACUCCUACGGGGGGAAGCAGUGGGGAAUAUUGCACAAUGGGCGGAAGCCUGAUGCAGCAACGCCGCGUGCGGAAUGACGGCCUUCGGGUUGUAAACCGCUUUCGCAUGUGACGAAGCGUGAGUGACGGUAAUGGGUGAAGAAGCACCGGCUAACUACGUG
rnacentral:rRNA from 1 species